CCUACGAGAGGCAGCAGUGGGGAAUAUUGCACAAUGGGGGAAACCCUGAUGCAGCGACGCCGCGUGAGUGAAGAAGUAAUUCGUUAUGUAAAGCUCUAUCAGCAGGGACGAAAAUGACGGUACAUGAGUAAGAAGCCCCGGCUAACUACGUGCCAGCAGACGCGGUAAUCCGUAGGGGGCAAGAGUUAUCCGGGUUUACUGGGUGUAACGGGAGCGUAGACGGCAGUGCAAGUCUGGAGUGAAAGGCGGGGGCUCAACCCCCGGACUGCUCUGGAAACUGUACGGCUGGAGUGCAGGAGAGGUAAUUGGAAUUCCUAGUGUAGCGGUGAAAUGCGUAGAUAUGAGGAGGAACACCAGUGGCGAAGGCGGCUUACUGGACUGUAACUGACGUUGAGGCGCGAAAGCGUGGGGAGCAAACAGGAUUAGAUACCCUAGUAGUC
rnacentral:rRNA from 1 species